GACGAACGCUGGCGGCGUGCUUAACACAUGCAAGUCGAACGGUAAGGCUCCAGCUUGCUGGGGUACACGAGUGGCGAACGGGUGAGUAACACGUGGGUGACCUGCCCUGCACUUCGGGAUAAGCCUGGGAAACUGGGUCUAAUACCGGAUAGGACCAUGGUGUGGAUACUGUGGUGGAAAGUUUUUUCGGUGUGGGAUGGGCCCGCGGCCUAUCAGCUUGUUGGUGGGGUAAUGGCCUACCAAGGCGGCGACGGGUAGCCGGCCUGAGAGGGUGGACGGCCACAUUGGGACUGAGACACGGCCCAGACUCCUACGGGAGGCAGCAGCGGGGAAUAUUGCACAAUGGGCGGAAGCCUGAUGCAGCGACGCCGCGUGGGGGAUGACGGCCUUCGGGUUGUAAACUCCUUUCACCAUCGACGAAGGGUUUCUGACGGUAGAUGGAGAAGAAGCACCGGCUAACUACGUG
rnacentral:rRNA from 1 species